AGCUCUGCACAGUGGCAGUAUUUUAGCCAAUGAGCUUUAUCCGAGGUGUAAUUAUUGCUAACUGAAAACUUUUCCCCAAAAUCAGUGAAGGAUAUACACCAUAUUAACAGAAUAAAGGACAAAACACACAUGAU
rfam:Myotis lucifugus cont2.15520, whole genome shotgun sequence.